rnacentral:rRNA from 1 species
AAUCAACGCUGGCGGCGUGCCUAACACAUGCAAGUCGAACGCGAAAGUGGAGCAAUCCAUGAGUAGAGUGGCAAACGGGUGAGUAACACGUGGGUGACCUGCCUUAGAGUGGGGGAUAACGUCCCGAAAGGGACGCUAAUACCGCAUAACAUGCUGCCUUUUAAGAGGCGGACAUCAAAGCCGGGGACCGCAAGGCCUGGCGCUUAAAGAGGGGCCCGCGCCUGAUUAGCUAGUUGGUGGGGUAAUGGCUCACCAAGGCAACGAUCAGUAUCCGGCCUGAGAGGGCGGACGGACACACUGGGACUGAGACACGGCCCAGACUCCUACGGGAGGCAGCAGUGGGGAAUUGUUCGCAAUGGGCGCAAGCCUGACGACGCAACGCCGCGUGGAGGAUGAAGAUCUUCGGGUUGUAAACUCCUUUCGAUCGAGACGAAUGGCCCUUGGGCUAACGAUCCCGACGGGAGUGACGGUACCGACGAGAAGAAGCCCGGCUAACUCCGUGCCAGCA